rnacentral:rRNA from 1 species
AGCAGUGGGGAAUAUUGCACAAUGGGCGCAAGCCUGAUGCAGCGACGCCGCGUGAGGGAUGACGGCCUUCGGGUUGUAAACCUCUUUCACCAGGGACGAAGCGKRAGUGACGGUACCUGGAGAAGAAGCACCGGCCAACUACGUGCCAGCAGCCGCGGUAAUACGUAGGGUGCGAGCGUUGUCCGGAAUUACUGGGCGUAAAGAGCUCGUAGGCGGUUUGUCGCGUCGUCUGUGAAAUUCUGCAACUCAAUUGCAGGCGUGCAGGCGAUACGGGCAGACUUGAGUACUACAGGGGAGACUGGAAUUCCUGGUGUAGCGGUGAAAUGCGCAGAUAUCAGGAGGAACACCGGUGGCGAAGGCGGGUCUCUGGGUAGUAACUGACGCUGAGGAGCGAAAGCGUGGGUAGCGAACAGGAUUAGAUACCCUGGUAGUCCACGCCGUAAACGGUGGGUACUAGGUGUGGGUUCCUUUUCACGGGAUCCGUGCCGUAGCUAACGCAUUAAGUACCCCGCCUGGGGAGUACGGCCGCAAGGCUAAAACUCAAAGGAAUUGACGGGGGCCCGCACAAGCGGCGGAGCAUGUGGAUUAAUUCGAUGCAACGCGAAGAACCUUACCUGGGUUUGACAUACACCAGACGCGGCUAGAGAUAGUCGUUCCCUUGUGGUUGGUGUAC